UACGUAGGGGGCAAGCGUUGUCCGGAUUUAUUGGGCGUAAAGAGCGUGUAGGCGGCCAGACAGGUCAGCUGUGAAAACUCGAGGCUCAACCUCGAGACGUCGGUUGAAACCGUCUGGCUAGAGUCCGGAAGAGGAGAGUGGAAUUCCCGGUGUAGCGGUGAAAUGCGCAGAUAUCAGGAAGAACACCCGUGGCGAAGGCGGCUCUCUGGGACGGUACUGACGCCGAGACGCGAAAGCGUGGGGAGCGAACAGG
rnacentral:rRNA from 1 species